CUCUGUACUUUGCACUUUGGUAAAAGUCUCAUUCAGGUUUAGAUUUCUAAAGUUUUCUUAAGAAAAUAAGUUUUCUUUGCUCUUCUUUCUUCCAAAUUGCAGAAAUCAGAUAAAAAUUACUUGAUAAAAUGACUUAUGUUAUUGAAGAUCCCAUAAAAAAGGUUGCUAUCUUUGGAGGAACUCACGGGAAUGAGCUAACAGGAGUAUUUCUGGUUAAGCACUGGCUAGAGAAUGGCGCUGAGAUUCAGAGAACAGGACUGGAGGUAAAACCAUUUAUCACCAACCCAAGAGCAGUGAAGAAGUGUACCAGAUAUAUUGACUGUGACCUGAAUCAAGAUUUUGACCCUGGAAAUCUUGGACUUCUUUGGCUCCGUUACCCUGCUAUAUUUAUCUUAUUGAGCAUCCUUCCCUUAAAUAUGCAACCACUCGUUCUAUAGCCAAGUAUCCUGUUGGUAUAGAAGUUGGUCCCCAGCCUCAAGGGGUUCUGAGAGCUCAUAUUUUGGAUCAAAUGAGAAAAAUGAUUAAAUAUGCUCUUGAUUUUAUACAUAAUUUCAAUGAAGAAUUUUACAGCCUGUAAAACAAGUGGGACCCACCUCUGGUGUCAAGAGUUUCACUAGGAACCCUGCCAGCCAGAGAGCCAGCACUUGCAAGCUGCUGCCACCGAUCAGGCUUCUGAGCUUCAGCUGCUCAAUCACUGAUGCCUCGUCCUCUUAACCUGGUGAAGCGGUAGUUAACGGCACAUGAGAGUAGUGCUUCUGAAAAUGUAAUAUGCAUGUAAACUACCUGUUAAAAGCUGGUUUUGAUUUAGUGAGUCUGUGGUGGUGCCUAAAAUUCUACAUUUUAUAAGCACAAAUUUUAUAUUUGGUGAUGCCAAUUCUGCUGGUCUGUGCACAACACGACGAGUAGUGAGAACAUGCAACACAUUUUAAAAUACAGAUUACUGCACCCUCCCCCAAUAAAUGUAGUCAGAAUCUCUGGGGAAGGAGAGCCAAUCUAAAAUAUCUUAAUGUAAUUCCUUAUGUAAUUCAAAUACAAGGCAUCUAAAAAUUUAUAUACACACUUUAACAGCUGAUAGUUCAAUUUUGAAAAUGAAAUGUAUUUUAAUAAACACUGCCUUUAUAAUGAUUCAAAGUGUGUGUAUGCAUUUUGAGGACCAUAUAUAUAUAUAUAUAUGGUCAGUCAAGGAUUAAGAACCUCUGUAUUGAAACACUUGCCUCACACAGAUGUCUGUCGUUGAAAUGAUACAAUCUUAAGAGACACAUUACCUAGUAACAUUUAUGAAUGCUAUCAUUAAAACUGGUGAACAUCAGUCAAAAUAUUUCUAGAAUAUGAACAAAUCUUGAAAGGCUCAGAUGUGGAGAAUGAUUAUUACACUGGAAAACCUAACCUGCAGAACAACACGAGACCCUCUGAUUAGAAGGACCCUACAAGACCAGCUCAUUCAUCCUUUGUCCAACUUACCCAGUCUGUCUGAGGGUGAUGACGGGACCCUGGCCUGAGAUCCUGCUCCCUUUUAUUCACUAAGGCACGUGAAGUAACAGCCUCUGUAGUCACCACCUGUGUCUGCAACAUC